AUGAUUGUUAUGUCCUAAUUUGUGGAGGACCGUCUGUUUGGUCCAAGUUGGGGUUAAGAUGACAGACUCUAAAAAGGGCGAAUGGAUGGGUCCGGAAGUUUCUCAUCCAGCAUUUCCAUCUGGACGGCAGGCCAAGCAAAGGCUGGACACUGCCCACUUCUGUGCACUGGUUAGAUGCAUUCUAGUUCUGUAUAAAGUAUAGCCAUUGUUACUCAUCUAUGCACAAAAGAAAUUCAGCGUGUGCAUUUUUCAUGCUAACCUGUGUCUGAUGUAGUCACUCUAGCGACAUGGAUGUAAAUGUUUCCAGGACUGGAGAAGCUUUGCUAGCAUGCAUAUGUAGGUUUGCCAUUAACCAUUUAAAAACAAAUUUCUUCACUUGCUUGCUUUAAAAGAAUAGCUACCAAAUGGUUUUUCAAAUCUCCCAAUUGUGAGCCUUUUUUGAAGAUAGGAGAUCUUAUCUCUGUUUUCUCUCUAGCCACAGAUGCUAGCAGGAAACAUAGCAUCUGUGCAGCUCACAGGACCACCGAGUGAGACACCAACCAGAAGAUCUUCACUAUUCAGUCAAGGAAGGAAGAUAUGAUGCUUCUCCGCUUGGCUGGGUUGAUUCUACUUUCGUUGCUUUCUACCCAUUCACAAAGGACUGGAAUAAUCCCACGGAAAACAGAGGGAUCUCUGGGAGGAACUGUAACCCUAACAUGUAACUUACCAGUUGGGCAGCCCUCUGGAAGAACACUGGUACAUUGGUACAAAGAGAAACAAGGCAGAAGUCUGGACUGGAUAUUCACAUGUUCGGACUUUUCAAAACCAGAUGGGAAGUACUCAAAUCGUCCAGAUACAACCACAAGAUCUUCUCUGAUCAUCAGUAAUGUGCAAAGAAAUGAUUCUGGGCUAUAUUAUUGUGUGAAAUACAAUUCUGAACAUCCUGAAUUCCUAGAAGGUAUAAGGUUGAUCAUCACAGAUGAUUCUAGGACAGACUUUUCCUUACUGGUGUCCCCCUUCUUUGAAGAGCUCUGGCAUAACCACACUCUUCCUCUGCUUUGCCUUUUCUUGGAUGUGCACCCCUCUUGGAAGCCUGUAUCCUGGAAUACUAGUAGCAAAACAUCUCAGAAUCAGUUAGACAUUGGUGUGACAGAGGCCCAUGGAAGAUUUAGCAUCUGGAGCAUAUGGCUGGUUCUGCCAGAGGCACCGUUUCAGGGGAAAGCACUUGGCUGUGCAGCUGAAGGAAACAGAAACUUCAGUGCUAUAUUCCAGAAGAAUAGGAAAUCGAGAAGUCCAGAAAACUGCGUCCUCAAGCUGUGUUUGGGAGGCCCCUGGAUUCCAAUCCUCCUCCUGAUUCUGCUCUUGCUUUUUAGGAAGCGCUGUGCCAGAGGCAAUGCUGCGCAACCCGCAAAUCCCAGACUCAUGGGGGAGAUCCAGCAGACAACUUACGCAGAAGUGCAUUUCAACAAUCAAAACAUGGCCUUCACGGAUCAAUCCCACUUCUCAAAUCCAAGUUGAUCUUGUUUCCAGAACAAGGAUAAAUUCAAAGAAAAAGCUGGGAUUAACUCUCCUAGAAGUUAAAUUUAACAUGUAGCAUUGAUACCACAAGCCUAUGCAAGCAUAUUCAGGAGUUUUACUUGGUUUAUAGUAGCAGGAUUACAGCUUCAGGUGUCUGUAUUUUUU
rnacentral:lncRNA from 1 species